GCGGUGUCGGCGUGCUUGUAUUUGCGGGAGGGAAUUAUCUGGGGGUGCUGGGUAGCCGGGAAGACUUGGACGGAUCUGGCCCGGGAAUGGGUCUGGGCCUGGAUUCUGGUGUGGUGUAGGGUAGGCGUAGAUAGAUGAGUGGUCUAGGGUAGAUACAGGGUAGCCAGAAGUCUAGUAUAUAGUAUGGGGGUUGUAGGGUA
rnacentral:misc_RNA from 1 species